CUGUCUUCAGCUCUGUUUGAACCCUGAGGGCUCAGCAUUGUGUCUGAACAAAUAUUUUACAAUGACUAUUUUCUAAAACAAAUGGAUCUUUGAGUUGCCCGAAGUUAAUAUUGAAUUUAAGCUGAGUUAGAAGAGAGAACAGUGCUUGGAAAUGUGAAACAAGCCAACUCAGGCUACAAUCAUGAGCAGAUCAGUCAUGAUUUGCAAAAGCCACCUCUGGAGUCCCUGAAAGUCCCAGCCAGGCAUGGCUCCCAGAACUGUGAGCAGAACACAGACUGACAGAGUAGCCCUGUGUCCUGUUUGCACGCUGCUUUUCAAGACCUGAAGAUCUAUUUUGAUUCUUCCCAGAAGCCACAAAAGGAAUACUACACCAGACAUAACUUCAGUAUGUAGUGGCUAUUACUACCAAGGGUUUAUACCACAUUACCCUACAAUAUUUAAAUCAAGAUAAAGACCCUAGAUUUUAAGGCAUUACACACAGAAGUCAUUUAUAAACCUGAAAGUUUGAUAUCGACUGUUGUCAAUGCUCUACUCCAAAUAAUAUGUCCUUAGUCUGAAAAUAAA